GAUGAGAUGGAAUCCAUGGGAUCCAUGGGAUGGGGUGGGGUCCAUGAGAUCCAUGGGAUGGGAUGGGAUCCAUGGGAUCAAUGGGAUGGGAUGGGAUCCAUGGGAUGGGAUGGGAUCCAUGGGAUCCAUGGGGUGGGGUGUCAGUGCCAGGACAGUUUUCCCCCUCACCCCACAGCCAUAAAAGGAGCCAAUUAAACCCCUACAAUAAACAAUGCACAAACCAAUACAAAAACCAAUAAAAUCCCAUAAAAACCAGGAUUUCGGAGUGACCAAAGGGACCUUUGAUUCCCAAAUCCCUCUGCAAACAGGGCCUGAUUCCAGCUGGCUUGGAUGGAGGGAAUUCUCCAAAGGAUGGGAAUCCUCCAGCAGGACAAUCCCUUAUCCUGGGAAGAGCUCUGGGAUGUCCCUCCCAGGGAGGGACAGGGGGUGGCCCCGGUGGCUCCAGCUGUCCCUGCCCAGGGGAUCCCUGCAGGCACAGCCACGCUCCAGCCAGGAUAAUCCCGCUGAUCCCAAAAAACCCCUCCGGGCUAUUUCUGGGACAACACAAACCAAACAACAACUGCCGGGACCCAGGGCCACCCUGGGCUUUCGUCUCCGUGGGCUCAGCUCUGCUCCUGCUCCUCCCAGGGACAGCAGCUCCCACGAAUCCAGUGUGGAUUUGCUGGAAUUUUCUCGGCUGCUGAGGGCCCAGCUGCCAGGCCGGGCUUUGUCCCCAACCCAGGGGUUUGUUGGCUUUGCCUUUGCUGCUGGAGAGGGUCAGAUCCAGGGAUAUCAGAGGUCAGAUCCAGGGAUAUCAGAGGGUCAGAUCCAGGGAUAUCAGGGGUUCAGAUCCAGGGAUAUCAGAGGGUCAGAUCCAGGGAUAUCAGAGGGUCAGAUGCAGGGAUAUCAGGGGGUCAGAUCCAGGGAUAUCAGGGGUUCAGAUCCAGGGAUAUCAGGGGGUCAGAUCCAGGGAUAUCAGAGGGUCAGAUCCAGGGAUAUCAGGGGUUCUGAUCCAGGGAUAUCAGGGGGUCUGAUCCAGGGAUAUCAGAGGGUCAGAUCCAG